AUUGAACGCUGGCGGCAUGCCUUACACAUGCAAGUCGAACGGUAACAGGUCUUCGGAUGCUGACGAGUGGCGAACGGGUGAGUAAUACAUCGGAACGUGCCUAGUAGUGGGGGAUAACUACUCGAAAGAGUGGCUAAUACCGCAUGAGAUCUACGGAUGAAAGCAGGGGAUCGCAAGACCUUGUGCUACUAGAGCGGCCGAUGGCAGAUUAGGUAGUUGGUGGGAUAAAAGCUUACCAAGCCGACGAUCUGUAGCUGGUCUGAGAGGACGAUCAGCCACACUGGGACUGAGACACGGCCCAGACUCCUACGGGAGGCAGCAGUGGGGAAUUUUGGACAAUGGGCGCAAGCCUGAUCAAGCAAGGCCGCGUGCAGGAUGAAGGCCUUCGGGUUGUAAACUGCUUCUGUACGGAACGAAAAGCCCUGGGUUAAUACCCUGGGGUCAUGACGGUACCGUAAGAAUAAGCACCGGCUAACUACGUGCCAGCAGCCGCCGCCG
rnacentral:rRNA from 1 species